rnacentral:rRNA from 1 species
AUGAAGAAGUCAGACAAGUUCGAGUGGACUCCUGAAGCUGAUGCAAUGUUUGCAGAGCUAAAAUCCCUGCUCUCCACCCAGCCGGUGCUUGCUGCCCCAAUCAGCAAAGAGCCUUUGCUACUUUACAUCGCAGCCACGGGACAAGUUGUCAGUACAGUACUUACGGUCGAGCGUGAAGAAGAAGGAAGAGCCUUUAAAGUUCAGUGCCCAGUAUAUUAUGUUUCUGAAGUUUUGACUCCAUCAAAGCAAAGAUACCCUCAUUAUCAGAAGCUUGUGUAUGGGAUUUAUAUGACCACGAAGAAGGUUGCUCAUUACUUCUCUGACCAUUCCAUUACAAUGGUCAGUGACGCUCCAUUGUCAGAGAUUUUGCACAACAGAGAUGCAACUGGUCGAGUGGCAAAAUGGGCGAUUGAACUCCUUCCCCUAGACGUCAAGUUUGAGGCAAAGAAAGCCAUCAAGUCCCAAGCAAUAGCAGAUUUCAUUGCCGAGUGGACUGAACAGCAACUGCCGACUCAAGUUCACUCAGAGCACUGGACCAUGUUCUUUGAUGGUUCUAAGAUGUUGAAUGGUUUCGGUGCUGGGGUAGUGUUGGUGUCCCCCCGAGGAGAUAAUCUCAGAUAUGUGCUCUAG